rnacentral:lncRNA from 12 species
GGGGCUUCAAAUGAAGGGGGGAAAUAGAGGAAGGUAACUCUUCAAGCAAAACUGAAAUGAAGAGUUCAAGCACUAGAAUUCAUAGCUGCCUAAAUAUUUUAGUAAAUAAAGAUUGAUCCAAAACCUCCUUCCAGUCCCAGAAAUGCAAGGCCAUCAUUUCAUUGUGGUGUAACAAACUUUGGCUUUGGCCUCACAUACAUCUGGUACAAAUUAGCACCUGCAUACCUCGGUUAUUAAAUAAAAACCAGCCCUCUGCACAUGACCUGCAGAGUCCUUGUGCACAAGAACUUAUCCAACGCCAUCGUGUCCUCCCUUAUGAAAUGUGUGUGGUAUGACAUCACAAACACAACCCUGCAGCAUGACUGGCACCAGUUCAAUUCCCAAGCACCAGCUCACCUUUCCCAUCGCGCCCCUUUAACACAAACCUACGGACCUGGUGACUAAUGGGCGGAGCCCUGGAAUUUUACCUCAGAUCCUUCACAUUUAACCUAAGGCUGAUGAACUAAAGGCAAUCUCUAGGGAAGAAGGCAUCUGUCAAAACCAUUGCUUGCAGCAUAUGGCCAAACCAACAAAAGGCUGCUGUGGGUACUGCCCAGUAAAUUUCCCUAAAGACCAAGAGCUGUGACAGUCCAUUGCCAGCAUAGACACCUCCUAGCAGUCUGAAGUCCUUGCAGUGACCACCCGAGCACAAAGACUGGGCAAGUGAGUAGGAACUUCUUGGCAAUGACUCUCAAGAACCUGAAUGACUGCCUGUGGGUUGGGUCGUGCCUCCAGCUGACACAAGCCAGACUCGGGCCCCCCUGUCGCAUUGUGAAUUCACUUCCAGUCAGAUCUGUGUGUCCUUCCUGCCUCAAUGCAGGCUUGAGUUAAUAAAAACGACCUAACAAAACCUUAGUUUUCAUCUAUUUCAUGAGGAUCGUGCUCUGAUCUAAAUCCCUGGUUACCAAGUUGAAGAAGCUCCAUGCAUGGCUUUCCUCAGAACUGUUUAGAUGGAUGCUCAAAGCAGCGCUCUCUCCCUGGAGCAGCCCCAAGGGAUCCACCUUGACAGCAUCACAAAUACAGCUUUUGGAUCUCAGGUAAGGCUGGGCUGCGGUCUGGGGAGUUAUUUAAAUAAAAAAGAAAGGGUGGCAAAUGUUUCCCAUGAUCCUCUCUUCGUAUUUGACCAAAGUAUCUGUUUUUCUAAUAAAGCAUGU